CAGCCGCCGCGGUAAAACGGAGGGAGCUAGCGUUGUUCGGAAUUACUGGGCGUAAAGCGUGCGUAGGCGGUUCGUUAAGUCUGUUGUGAAAGCCCCGGGCUCAACCUGGGAAUGGCAAUGGAUACUGGCGAGCUAGAGUGUGUCAGAGGAUGGUGGAAUUCCCGGUGUAGCGGUGAAAUGCGUAGAGAUCGGGAGGAACAUCAGUGGCGAAGGCGGCCAUCUGGGACAACACUGACGCUGAGGCACGAAAGCGUGGGGAGCAAACAGGAUUAGAUACCCCCGUAGUCCCUGUCUCUUAUAC
rnacentral:rRNA from 1 species